rnacentral:lncRNA from 1 species
AGCACCAGACGCAGCUCCUCUCUCCUGAUGGGAUGGCCCUGGGGCUCCUGGUGGCUCUGACUUCUGUAAAGCGUCUCCCUCCGGCGCCUUUCCCUCCACCAGCCGGUGGCUGCACAGUGCCCUGCCUUGUUUCUUUCACACAGAAGUGAGGGCAGGAAGCAGGCUGUGCCAGCUCACACCACCCCUAAUGCUCGCAGCGCUGACUCUAAUUGUUUCCAGGAAGAUCGCAGCUUUGCUUUUGUGCUGUUCCUGGUGAAUGCCAUCCGUUGUCUAUGCACAAACAUGGGGCUGAGAGUAAACCACAUUUCCUUGUGGAAGCAGGACUUCAGGAUAGCCAGGUCCACGAACAAUGAGAAAAUCCGGAGCUUCCCAGCAUUCUGCUCAAGGCCCAGCAUCCCAUAUCGGAACCCGCCGCACCCACUGCUCUCUCAGCUCCUGAGCCUCCACACCCUGGCUGCCUGGGAACACCUCAGGCACAUGCAGGUUUAAUAUAAUCAAAGCCUUCAAUUAGGGGGUUUAGUCCAUAUGGAGGAAGUCCAGAUUCUGCAGAUGAGACAAGCAUGGGGAGCAUUCUGAGGUGCUGGCUUUCUGAGCCUGAAAUGUUCCCCCAAGUGGAGGCCACGGCCGGCCAUCCCACUGAACAGCCUUCACCUCAGGGCAGACUCAGUGGCACCACUGAUUUGUCACUGACCGUCACGAUUCCAGCUGAAGCUGGGUGCAGAUGGGGUUUCAGCUGGAAGAGGUUUUCCCUUUGGGCCAGUAAUCCUAUAAAAGUCAUCAUACCUGUCUGGGGAGAUGGGCGAUUUCCCUAGAAUGGAGAGUCCAACGUGCAGGAGGGAGCUGCUCUUCCUGUCGGGCCUUGGGUGCACCCCUCAUAGGGCUCAGGUCCCACUGCUCCAGAAAGGACCUUUAAACACUCAGGUCGAGAAGCAGCAAGAUCACAUUUGGUAUUUGCCCUAGUCUUAAAAACAAUAAACAAAGCAUGAUAGGGAGCCCAUGGGCAGAUGUCUGCAAUUUAUAAAUGUGUGCCCUGAAGCACCCUCACCCUUCUGUGCUCAUCACCUCUGAGCCCCGGGGACAUGCACCCCGGGGAGGCCAGCCCUGCCCUCACUGCCUUCUGUGGCCUCUGCCUUCCAUCUUUCUCUCUACAUGGACGCAGGGCUAGGAAACCUAGAGACUGGGUUCUAAAAGAAAUAGAAACCUCUUUUUUACCCUGCUCCUGAGAGUCAACCCUUCUGAGCUCAAGCAAAGGGCAUUCCCGGUCCUCAGCUCCUUGCCCCCACAUAGAUCUGAAGUGAGCCUGUACCGCCCACCUCUCAGUUCUCAACUGUCGCUUAAUCCUGCCCCACAAUAGGCCACCCCUGGGCUACAACUUGAGCUUCUAGGUGUGCACACUGAAGGCUCUGAACAGGCUCACAGCCCGGGGACACUCGGCAAGGACUCCCCACAUUCCCAGCACCUGAGCGAGGCCCAGAAAAGAGAGGGGCAGGCACCAGAUUGGCAGCUUUGUAUCCUUUCUGCCCACCCCCAGGGAAAGGGUGUAGCCCAUAUAUGGGGAAGGGGGGCUGGGGAGGCCAGGGGCUCUGCAAGCCAGGGUCCACGUCACUUAGGACUGAAGGCGGCACUGCCCAGGCAAAUGGCACCUGAAAACCCAACAGGAACCUGGAGGCCCAAAGCCUCCAGGCGCCUAAAAACCCAUUCACUUUUCUAAACUGCAUAGUCCCUUAUUUGAACCAGUAAUGUCCUUAAAACCUCCAGUGCAGCUCUAUCUCGGAGGGAGUGGAGGUGGGACCUGGGAAAGCCAUCCCUCUCUCACUCCAGAUGGCUUGGGGCCACCCCUUACUGACUAUUUUCAUUCUAAAGAGGUUGCUUCUGUCACCCUUUCAGCUUCUCCAGACCCCUCUCCUUCCAUCUUUCUCUCUUGUAUAAUCUAACCUUUCCUGAACCCAAGCAGAAAUGCAGUGACAAACCCACAAGAUAUUCAAGUGCUGGCACGCUUCUCUCUGCACUUGCACUUUGCCUGGGCUGACUGGCUUCUCAAGGGCAAGUCUAAGGGAACACUGGCCAGUGCCACAUACAGACUUUAGGGGUCAGGGACAAAGAGAUGUGAUGUGUGAUCUACAGCGUUUCUCCUGUAGAUCAAUGACACAGAAGACGCCGGAAGGGCAGGCCCCAUUGCUGAAACGUUUGCCAGGUCCAAAUGGUUUUGGAGCACACUUGCAAACUUUCAAAGAACAGCUAAUUUUUGUAUUAAAGUGUUUCAGAGCACAAAAAGAUGGGAAGUUUCUCAGUUUAUUCUACAAGGUCCGAAUAGCACUAAAAAUCAGAGAGAUACUAGAAAAAGAAAACUAUAGCUUUAUUCAUGAAUGUAGAUGUAGAAAUCCUAAAUGAAAUGUAGGAAAUGGAAUUAUUUAUUCUAGGAAUUAAAAGAUAGCUCAUUUUGUUUAUACACGUGAGGAAAAUAAUAGGUGAAAUGUUAAUAUUAACUCAUGUUCAUAAGGCAUCAAUAACGCCCAAUCACAUUGCUGUUAAAAUCUCUUAGUCACUUGGGAAUAGAGGACAACAUGUUUAAUUGGAUUAAAGUAUCUGUCAAAAAUUAAUAAGAAACAUCAAACAUAAAAGUGAAAUACCAAGAACCUAGCACCUUAAAUCAGAACAAGACAAGGAUAACUAUUAUCACAUCUAUUAUUCAACACUCCAGAAAUCCAGUGUUUUGGGGGACAAGAGAAGACAUAUUACUUAAAUAUGAUAUAUUUGCAUCAUUAGAAUAUAGUCAGAAAACCAAAUCUAGUCAGCAGCCUAUUUCUAUGAGGUUUUAUUAGGACACAGCCAUGCCUACUUAUUUAUGUAUUGUCUGUUAUGACUGCUUUUAUACUACAGUGGCAAGUUGGGUAGUUGGAACUGAGAUCCUUUGACCUGCAAAGCCAAAAAUAUUCCCUGUCUGACUUUUUACAGCAAAAGUUUGCCUCUCCCAAAAUAAUUAACUGAAAACAAAAUUAAACAAGAAAAUCAGUAGGGUAAGCACAUAGAAAUAUAAUCAGUAGUUUUUCUACAUACCAUCCAUCAUUAAUUAGACAACAUAAUGGAAAAGAAUUCCAUUUAAAAUAGCAACUAAAACAACAAAAUAUCUAGAAUUAAACUUAAAUGUGUGAGAAUAAUAUGAAAACAAAAACUAAGAAUCCUUUCUGAGGCAUAAAAGGAGACUCAAAAAGAUAUAUUACAUUCAUGGACAUGAAGACGAUGUUAUAAAGAUACCAAUUAUCCCUAAAUAUAACAUACAUUCAAUGCAAUUCAAAUGAAAAUUUCAGUGGUUAUUUUGGGGAGUAUAAGCUUUAGAAUUUGGAAUCUAGAAUAGAAAAUGUACCACAGUAGCCAACAACAUUUGGAAAACAAUUGAGUAGUGAAGGAAUGAUACAAAAAUAUACUAUAUAAAAAUAAUAACUAAAUCAGCACAGUAAUUAACGGAAACAUAGUUUGGAAGCAGAUACGUGUGCAUAGGAAUGUGUCCAUGAUAAAGAGGACAUCUCCAGAUGGGGGACAUGACAGACUACCCAGCAAAUGAUUUUGGAGAAAACGCCUAUACAUUUGAAAAUUAAUUAUGGUUCUAUUUCACACUCUACCCAAAGACAAAUUUCAGAUGGACCGAAGAUCUAAACAUAACAGCCAAAACAAAGUAUUGGGUAAAAUCUAUGUGAAUAUUUUUGAAUCUCAGGAAGAGGAGGUGAUCCUAGUGCAUAGCACAAAACCCCAAAGGCAUAAAGAAAAAGAUGGACAAGAAGGAAAUCCAAUGUUUUUCAGUUUUUAAAGGAAAAAUAACUAACCACUGAAGAAAAGCCAAUAUAUAUACAGGGAGAAAAACUUUAAGAUAUAUCAACAAUUAAUACCCUAAAAUGUGAAGUAUUCCAAUGAAUUUGUAAAAAAAUUAAACACUCUAUUAAAACUUU